UUUCAGAAGGAAGACACGAAAAUUCGUUAGAUCACCGAAGUCAAGCGUCAUUGGGCGCUGUCAGUACUUGGGUGGGUGACCACCUGGGAACACCGCGUGCCGUU